UUGUAAUUAGCAGGCAAUCUUUGAGUAAAGUAAGUAAGGCUAUUGUGAGGAUGACAAGGCUGGUAUGCUGGGGGUCAGAACCAAAGGAUUCCUUUUCUAGUAGUUGGAGCCAAGUAGAGGAGAAACUAGGAGCUGCAAAAAAGCUGUAGAGUCCAGUUAAAGCCCAGUCUUAGCUCUGGACUCACAGGUGCAGGUCUUGGAUCUGCACUUGGGACUAGUUUGCCUCCCCCA